rnacentral:rRNA from 1 species
AGAAGUCACGGCUAACUACGUGCCAGCAGCCGCGGUAAUACGUAGGUGGCAAGCGUUAUCCGGAUUUAUUGGGACGUAAAGAGAGUGCAGGCGGUUUUUCUAAGUCUGAUGUGAAAGCCUUCGGCUUAAACCGGAGAAGUGCAUACGGAAACUGGAUAACUUGAGUGCAGAAGAGGGUAGUGGAACUCCAUGUGUAGCGGUGGAAUGCGUAGAUAUAUGGAAGAACACCAGUGGCGAAGGCGGCUACCUGGUCUGCAACUGACGCUGAGACUCGAAAGCAUGGGUAGCGAACAGGAUUAGAUACCCUGGUAG